rnacentral:lncRNA from 1 species
CAGAGCCAGGCUCCACAUCCAACAGCUGACCUAUGAGUUCCUCCAGUCUCCUGAGCCAGGCUCCACAUCCAACAGCUGACCUAUGAGUUCCUCCAGUCCCCAGAGCCAGGCUCCACAUCCAACAGCUGACCUAUGAGUUCCUCCAGUCUCCAGAGCCAGGCUCCACAUCCAACAGCUGACCUAUGAGUUCCUCCAGUCUCCAGAGCCAGGCUCCACAUCCAACAGCUAACCCACACACUGGCAAGUUGGCUCUAACUAGGGUAGCUCUGGUCACAAUACCAGUAUCACUAUACUAUGAUACUCCACUUUCCAAGGCAAAAAGGAAACACGAAACUGUUUUAACUCUUUAAAAACCUGCUUUAUCUAAAAUAUUGUUUUCUGUAGCUUGAAAAACAAACAAAUGUGACUCUGGGUGACAACAUAAUGCUGCUUGUUUGUAUCCAACAUUAGGACUUCUGAGUAUAGCGAUUCUGCUAUUGAGACACUACUAGGGAGUUGGUAGACAAUGCCUCUAACUACUGGUCUGGGGUCAGACAUUGUUUGAUGGGUAAUCUGAUCCUAGAUCUGUGGCUUAGAGGAAACUUCUACUCAGAGCUGAUCUGACGUCCUGUUUUUAACCACACUGGUUGUUUUGUUGUCUGACUCUGCUCUCAACACCCUGGGGACAACGAGAGUGAACCUCAGACAUGUUGUGAAAGGUCAUCAUGAUUGUACAGAUUAUUUGUAUGUGCGCUAUACUUAAGAGAAUAAAGUCGCCACAGGUUGUGUUUUUACACAGUACUGUGUCAUCAGGUUGUGUUUUUACACAGUACUGUGUCAUCAGGUUGUGUUUUUACACAGUACUGUGUCAUCAGGUUGUGUUUUUACACAGUACUGUGUCAUCAGGUUGUGUUUUUACACAGUACUGUGUCAUCAGGUUGUGUUUUUACACAGUACUGUGUCAUCAGGUUGUGUUUUUACACAGUACUGUGUCAUCAGGUUGUGUUUUUACACAGUACUGUGUCAUCAGGUUGUGUUUUUACACAGUACUGUGUCAUCAGGUUGUGUUUUUACAAAUCAAAUCAAAUGUAUUUUUAGCCCUUCUUACAUCAGCUGAUAUCUCAAAGUGCUGUACAGAAACCCAGCCUAAAACCACAAACAGCAAGCAAUGCAGGUGUAGAAGCCACGGUGGCUAGGGAAAAACUCCCUAGAAAGGCAAAAACCUAGGAAGAAACCUAGAGAGGAACCAGGCUAUGAGGGGUGGCAGUCCUCUUCUGGCUGUGCCAGGUGGAGAUUAUAACAGAACUUGGCCAAGAUGUUCAAAUGUUCAUAAAUGACCAGCAUGGUCAAAUAAUAAUAAUCACAGUGGAUGUGAGAGUGCAACAGGUCAGCACCUCAGGAGUAAUUGUCAGUUGGCUUUUCAUAGCCGAUCAUUCAGAGUAUCUCUACCGCUCCUGCUGUUUCUAGAGAGUUGAAAACAGCAGGUCUGGGACAGGUAGCACGUCCGGUGAACAGGUCAGGGUUCCAUAGCCGCAGGCAGAACAGUUGAAACUGGAGCAGCAGCACAGCCAGGUGGACUGGGGACAGCAAGGAGUCAUCAUGCCAGGUAAUCCUGAGGUAAUCCCCGAGAGAGAGAAAGAAAGAAAGAAAGAGAAUUAGAGAGAGCAUACUUAAAUUCACACAGGACACUGGAGAAAUACUCCAGAUAUAACAGACUGACCCUAGCCCCCAGACACAUAAACUACUGCAGCAUGAAUACUGGAGGCUGAGACAGGAGGGGUCAGGAGACACUGGCCCCAUCCGAUGAUACCCCCGGACAGGGCCAAACAGACCCUACUGUGUCAGUAUCACUACUGUGUCAUUCAUUAGCUUUUCUUUCAAAUGUUUUGGGCACUUCAGGGAUUGAUAUGAUACAGUGGAGUCUUAUCUCGUACUUUUCAAGAGGGCAG